UGUACGAAAAGAUUAAAAGUACGAAGGUGAU
rnacentral:piRNA from 1 species